UACGGAGGAUGCGAGCGUUAUCCGGAUUUAUUGGGUUUAAAGGGUGCGUAGGCGGACUGUCAAGUCAGCGGUAAAAUUGAGAGGCUCAACCUCUUCCCGCCGUUGAAACUGGUGGUCUUGAGUGGAUGAGAAGUACGCGGAAUGCGUGGUGUAGCGGUGAAAUGCGUAGAUAUCACGCAGAACUCCGAUUGCGAAGGCAGCGUACCGGCAUCCAACUGACGCUGAGGCACGAAAGCGUGGGGAUCGAACAGG
rnacentral:rRNA from 1 species